UUUUUAAAGCUGGUUAGAAGUUAUCUGCAAAUUCAUUCAAAAUUAAGAAAUGGUAAAUAAUUUAUUGGUUGAUAUGAUUUAUAAUUCUUUCUGCGAUUUCAUCAAAAUGUUACCUUUCUCGUCUCUUGACUAGGUUUUGACAGAAUCUCAAGAUUUUGUUUUUAUGAUUUUUUUUCCAUUUUCUCAAAGAUUAAGCUUAAGCAUUGCAAGCUUGCUUUUAUAUGUAACUCAUUAUCAGGAAUCCAAUCCCAACUGGGAA
rnacentral:misc_RNA from 1 species